GAUGAACGCUGGCGGCGUGCCUAACACAUGCAAGUCGAACGGAAAGACAAGGAGCGGGCGCUACUGCCGUUGGCGACGGGCGGGUGAGUAAGGAGUAGAUAGCCUUCCACUUUGGCUUGGAUAAAUACGGGAGGAAGGAGCAACUAAUAGAUAAUACUGCGGACGGGUGGGAGCAGGAGAGCUUCGGCGUUUGGGUGUCGAAUAUAGACGGAUCCGCGUCGCGUUGGUGAGUUGGUAGGGUAACGGCUUGCCAAGGAGCCGAUGCGUAGCCGAGCUGAGAGGGUGAUCGGCCACACUGGAACUGAGACACGGUCCAGACUCCUACGGGAGGCAGCAGUAGGGAAUCUUGGGCAAUGGGCGGAAGCCUGACCCAGCCAUGCCGCGUGGGUGAAGAAGGUCUUCGGGUCGUAAAACGCUUUUAUUGGGGAAGAACAACUGCGUAAUUAACUAUGCUUGUUUUGACGGUACCUAAUCAAUAAGCCCCGGCUAACUACGUG
rnacentral:rRNA from 1 species